rnacentral:rRNA from 1 species
AUGGUGGCAUGCGCCAAAGCUCUCUGUGUGCCACAUGGCUCUGGGAUGUUAGGAAAAGCGUUGGAGGCUGUCGCAUUCUAUGACGAGGAGAAGAUCGCCACCAAAGUGGACUACUUGAAGAAGACGUUAAGGUGGUCGGAUACUGAGGUGGGCAUUGCUUUGCCCAAGGCUCCAAUGGUGCUGAAGUCUUCCAAGGACAGGCUGCAAUGCGUCUCAGAGUUCCUCAUCUCCGAGGUGGGGUUGGAACCAUGGUACAUCGCUCAUCGGCCGGCGGUUCUCAGUUACAGCCUGGAUGGUCGGCUCAGGCCCCGGUACUAUGUUGUAAAGUUUCUCAAGGAAAACGGAUUGCUACAUCGAGACCGGGACUACUAUUCUGCAGUCGCGAUGACUCCGAAGGUAUUCAUGGAGAAGUUCAUAUGCCCACACAAGGAAGCUGCACCACACCUUGCUGAAGACUAUGCGGCAGCUUGCAGAGGGGAAGUGCCAGCUAGAUUCAGAUUUACAUGA